GACAGAGGGUGCAAACGUUGUUCGGAAUUACUGGGCGUAAAGCGCGUGUAGGCGGCUAAGUAAGUCGGGCGUGAAAUCCCACGGCUCAACCGUGGAAGUGCACUCGAAACUGCAUAGCUAGAGUCCUGGAGAGGAAGGUGGAAUGCUUGGUGUAGAGGUGAAAUGCGUAGAUAUCCGGAGGAACACCGAUGGCGAAGGCAACUGCCUGGGCCUGAUCUGACACUGAGGCACGAAAGCGUGGGUAGCAAACAGG
rnacentral:rRNA from 1 species